AGCAGUAGCCACGGUAACACGGAGGGGGCUAGCGUUGUUCGGAAUUACUGGGCGUAAAGCGCACGUAGGCGGCUUGGUAAGUUAGAGGUGAAAGCCUGGAGCUCAACUCCAGAAUUGCCUUUAAGACUGCCGAGCUAGCAGGUGAGAGAGGUAAGUGGAAUUCCGAGUGUAGAGGUGAAAUUCGUAGAUAUUCGGAAGAACACCAGUGGCGAAGGCGGCUUACUGGCUCAUACUGGACGCUGAGGUGCGAAAGCGUGGGGAGCAAACAGGAUUAGAUACCCCCGUAGUCCCUGUCUCUUAUAC
rnacentral:rRNA from 1 species